rnacentral:rRNA from 1 species
GCCUGUUGAUAAUAAUUUCAGGUCGAGCCUGCCCAMUGAAMUAGUUAAAUGGCCGCGGUAUAUUGACUGUGCAAAGGUAGCAUAAUCACUAGUUUUUUAAUUGAAAGCUUGAAUGAAGGGUUUAAUGAAAAAUUAACUGUCUCUGUAAAAAUUUAAUAAAAUUUUAUUUUUAAGUUAUAAAGCUUAGAUUUACAUAAAAGACGAGAAGACCCUAUAGAGUUUUAUAUACUUAAGGCAAUUUAAAAUAUUUGGGAUAGUCUAUUUGAGUUAUUUAGGUGUAUUUGGUUGGGGAGAUAAAAAAAUUAGACUAACUUUUUUUAAUUGAAAUAUUUAUUUAUAAAUUCGUGAUCCUAAAAUUUAGAUUAAAAGAAUAAAUUACCUUAGGGAUAACAGCGUAAUUUUUUUAAGAGUUCUUAUCGAAAAAAAAGCGCGACCUCGAUGUUGGAUUAAAAUUAAUUGUUGGUGUAGAAGCUAAUAAAUUAGGUCUGUUCGACCUUUAAAAUUUUACAUGAUCUGAGUUU